rnacentral:rRNA from 1 species
ACUCAAAUGAAUUGACGGGGACUUGCACAAGCAGUGGAUCAUGUGGUUUAAUUCGUCGACAAACGAAGAACCUUACCAGGAUUAGAAAUCUAGCUGAAGACAUGCAGAAACGUAUGUCGCCGCAAGGCAGUUAGACAGGUGCUGCAUGGCCGUCGUCAGUUCGUGGUUUGAAUUGUUCCCUUAAGUGGGGUAACGAACGCAACCCUCGUUGCCUGUUAGAUAUGUCAGGCGAGACUGCCCCCGAUUUUGCUCAGAAACACGCGGGUGUUUGUGGUCAGGAUCGGGGGAGGAAGGUGAGGAUGACGCCAGGUCCGCAUGGCCCUUGAUAUCCUGGGCUACACACGUGAUACAAUCGCCGGUACAACGCGAUGCGACGAGGAAACUCUGAGCCAAUCGUUAUAAAGCCGGCGCCAGUUCGGAUUGAGGUCUGCAACUCGACCUCAUGAAGCCGGAAUUGCUAGUAAUCACAGGUCAGCAUACUGUGGUGAAUACGUUCUCAAGUCUUGUACACACCGCCCGU